UAAUACGUAGGUGGCAAGCGUUGUCCGGAUUUAUUGGGCGUAAAGCGCGCGCAGGCGGCUAUGUAAGUCUGGUGUUAAAGCCCGGGGCUCAACCCCGGUUCGCAUCGGAAACUGCAGAGCUUGAGUGCAGAAGAGGAAAGCGGUAUUCCACGUGUAGCGGUGAAAUGCGUAGAGAUGUGGAGGAACACCAGUGGCGAAGGCGGCUUUCUGGUCUGUAACUGACGCUGAGGCGCGAAAGCGUGGGGAGCAAACAGGAUUAGAUACCCUGGUAGUCCACGCCGUAAACGAUGAGUGUUAGGUGUUGGGGGUUUCAAUACCCUCAGUGCCGCAGCUAACGCAAUAAGCACUCCGCCUGGGGAGUACGCUCGCAAGAGUGAA
rnacentral:rRNA from 1 species